GAGAAAAAAUAAUAAGAGUUUAAGGCCUGUAAAAUGCUUAUCCUAUUGUACUGUAAUAAUCAACAAUUAUUAUGAUGUUAUUUAUAUAGCUCUAGAUGUGAAAGGGCCUUUCUAGACAUAGUGCAGGUCUGUUAUCAAGAGUUUAAAGUCCUGAUUCUGCAACAUUUCAAGUGGGUGAACUUUUGCAACACUGUGGAGCCCCAGUUACUUUAACAGGGCUCCAGGCUAAUGCAGGGAUGCACACCUACCAGCUACAUGAUCAUGGACCUAAAUGAGAAAUAUACAAACAACUCCACUGCUAAUCCCAAGUAUUCAAAAAUUAAGAGUCAGGCUCUCAAAAUCAUAAAGGGCUUAAAAAUCACAAUUUAAAAGGAAAAAAAAUGUCUUCUGGUUUCUGGGUCUUCAGCAUUCAUAUUGUCAAGAUUUUCUCCGCAACUUUGAGGGCUAGAAACUUGAUUUUACAAAAAGGAAAAGUGAUAAUAUCACAUAAAAGAAAAUUACCAGUCUUUAAUCUGUUGUGAGGAACCAUUAAAGACAAAGAAAAACUGAUUUUAAACAAAUGUGAUAAGUCUAAUUAUUGUAUGCAGCAAAGUUAUGCAAUUAACAAGUUGUCUUUGUAGUUCAGAGAAUAGUGAGAUUUAAACUAACAGCUCAAUUCUGCCCCUAUUUAUCAUCAUCAUCAUGUUACCAUGAUGCUUCUAGCGUUUAGGGCAGUGACAGAGCUCCUCCACUACUGUUUGUUUCUGGCAAGUCUUUCAAUGGUUCCCCAGCUGUGCCCCAGGUUUCUCAGCUCAGUUUCCACAACUCUUCACCAUGUUUUUUUCAGGUGGCCUCGUUUUCGCUUGCCUUCAGGUGUCCAUCUUUUAAUGCUACUCUGGUGAUGGAAUCAGUUCCCAUCCGAAGCGCACGGCCAAUUCAUCUCCAGUGCCUCCAGGCAAUGAUGGUGCUCAGAUCCUCUUGGCUGCACUGUGUUAAUAGAUCUUGGUUUGAGAUUGUUCUGGGCCAAAAGGUGCAGAAGAUUUUUCUGAGGCAGGUUGUAUGGAAUGAAGACAGUUUGGACAUGUCAUACAUUGUCAUUCCCCAGCAUUCUGUACUGUAAAGUAAUGUUGAAAGUACGCAGCUCUGAGUUUGGUUUUUUAUUUUUUAUUAUUUCCAGACUGUAUUUAAGCUCCUGAAGGUGUUCCUGGCUUUAUUGAUUUUGAUCCAGAUGUCCUGGCUUGUUCCACCAUCCUGGCUGAUAGUGCUGCCCAAGUUUGUGAAUGUUUCUACACUGCUGAGAACACAAUCCUCUAUCAAGGAUGCUUGAAAGAAAGGUACUUAGUACAUUCAUCAACUUUAACAGCCACUGGAAGGAACAGAUAUGUCUCCUGAGCACUCAUGCUGAGAGGUGGCAGCAAGCCCACAGAGUGCAGAUGACUGGCCCAGACCCCUGGACUACUUGGCCCCACAGAAAGGAGAUGACUGGCCCGGACCACCCGACCUCUCAGGAGACAGAUGGGUGACCUAGAUCACUGACUGGCCCAACCUCAGUAGAACUUCUUCUGGUGACUGAGGCCCCCACUGAUCAACUUACCUCAGUGGACCAGCAGUGUCACUCUAUAAGGAUCCACCCUGGAUAUUAGAGAGAGAAAAUGGAUGAGGGAUUAUAUUUUAUUGGCUCCACUUCUGUUGGUGAGAGAGACAAGCUUUUGACCCACACGGAGCUCUUCUUCAGGUCUGGGAAAGGUACUACAAGCACCACCACUAAAUACAAGAUGGAACAGAUAGUUUUUAUCUGUGACACUCUUAGUGGAGUAACUAUUUUUACCAGUUGAAAUAAAAGCAGAUUUGGACCCUAUAAAACAUGUCUGGUUUCAGAACCAGGAUUUAUUUAUUCCUUUGCCUACGGCAUUUCAGAUGAUCGUUUUACUCUCUCUUUAUGAUUGUAACCUGGCAACAGCUGAUUUAAAGUAUGUGUAAGUGCUUACAAGAAUUAAAGCUCUUAAUACUUCUAUCAAUAAGGAAGUAAAGCUAACUUGGAAAGCUGCAGGUAGCCAAAGCAGCAUAUUAGUGCCGAUGACUUUUGUUGCACAAAAAAGAAUACAUGACUACAGUCUAUAAAUUGUUAAAUCCCUGUAUUAGCUCAAGGAAGCCAAACCCUAGAUGUUUUCCAUCUCUAGCUGCGACAGACCAAAUCCAGGGCACAUUUUA